CAAAAUUGUUGUGAGCGUGAUAACUUGAUACGGUGAAAAGCCAAAAAAUCAAAUUCUUGAGAGCAGAAUAUCAAAAGAAAAGGUUAUGCUGGAACAAAUGAAAAAAGUGUGAAUUUUAAAGUCUUCGCUGCAAAAUGAGGAUCACAUUGAGCUUGCUUAUAGGAGUAUGCGUUGGCUUAUUGACAAUGCAGUGGACAACGUCCGUUAAAG